UACAGAGGGUGCAAGCGUUGUUCGGAAUUAUUGGGCGUAAAGGGCGUGUAGGCGGUUUGCUAAGUCAUGUGUGAAAUCCCUCGGCUUAACCGAGGAACGACGCAUGAUACUGGCAAGCUAGAGUACGGAAGAGGCGAGUGGAAUUCCCGGUGUAGCGGUGAAAUGCGCAGAUAUCGGGAGGAACACCAAUUGCGAAGGCAGCUCGCUGGGACGUUACUGACGCUGAGACGCGAAAGCGUGGGGAGCAA
rnacentral:rRNA from 1 species